GCUCAGGAUGAACGCUGGCGGCGUGCCUAAUACAUGCAAGUCGAGCGAAUGGAUUAAGAGCUUGCUCUUAUGAAGUUAGCGGCGGACGGGUGAGUAACACGUGGGUAACCUGCCCAUAAGACUGGGAUAACUCCGGGAAACCGGGGCUAAUACCGGAUAACAUUUUGAACUGCAUGGUUCGAAAUUGAAAGGCGGCUUCGGCUGUCACUUAUGGAUGGACCCGCGUCGCAUUAGCUAGUUGGUGAGGUAACGGCUCACCAAGGCAACGAUGCGUAGCCGACCUGAGAGGGUGAUCGGCCACACUGGGACUGAGACACGGCCCAGACUCCUACGGGAGGCAGCAGUAGGGAAUCUUCCGCAAUGGACGAAAGUCUGACGGCGCAACGCCGCGUGAGUGAUGAAGGCUUUCGGGUCGUAAAACUCUGUUGUUAGGGAAGAACAAGUGCUAGUUGAAUAAGCUGGCACCUUGACGGUACCUAACCAGAAAGCCACGGCUAACUACGUGCCAGCAGCCGCGGUAAUACGUAGGUGGCAAGCGUUAUCCGGAAUUAUUGGGGCGUAAAGCGCGCGCAGGUGGUUUCUUAAGUCUGAUGUGAAAGCCCACGGCUCAACCGUGGAGGGUCAUUGGAAACUGGGAGACUUGAGUGCAGAAGAGGAAAGUGGAAUUCCAUGUGUAGCGGUAGAAAUGCGUAGAGAUAUGGAGGAACACCA
rnacentral:rRNA from 2 species